UAGGGAAUUUUCGUCAAUGGGCGCAAGCCUGAACGAGCAAUGUCGCGUGAACGAGGAAGGUCUUCGGAUCGUAAAGUUCUGUUGAAGGGGAAAAAGAGCGGAGAGAGGAAAUGGUCUCCGAUUGAUAUUACCCUUCGAGGAAGUCACGGCUAACUACGUGCC
rnacentral:rRNA from 1 species